rnacentral:rRNA from 1 species
AUUAAGUCUAUCUUGCCCACUGAUAAUAUAUUAAAGGGCUGCAGUAUUUUGACUGUACAAAGGUAGCAUAAUCAAUAGUCUCUUAAUUGGUGACUUGUAUGAAAGAUUGGAUGAGAUAUAGACUGUCUCUAAUUUAUAUUAAGAAUUUAAUUUUUUAAUUAAAAAGUUAAGAUAAUUUUAAAAGACGAGAAGACCCUAUAGAGUUUUAUAUUUAAAUUUAUUAAAAUUAUAUUUAAGUUUAGUAGUUAAAAUUAAUUUGAAAUAUUUUGUUGGGGUGAUAGAAAAAUAAAAUUAACUUUUUUUAAUUUAUUUCACUGAUUUGUGAGUUAUUGAUCCAAAAUUUUUGAUUAUAAGAAAAAAUUACCUUAGGGAUAACAGCGUAAUUUUUUUUUUUAGUUCAAAUAAGAAGAAGAGUUUGCGACCUCGAUGUUGGAUUAAGGUAAAAUUUAUAUGCAAAAGUAUAAAAUUUUGAUCUGUUCGAUCAUUAAAACCUUA